GUGUCAGUAGUGCAACGGGUUCGAGCACACGCUUCUGGAUAUGGUGAGAUGAGGGUUCGAAUCUCGCCUGACGCG